UGGGGAAUUUUGGACAAUGGGGGAAACCCUGAUCCAGCCAUCCCGCGUGUGCGAUGAAGGCCUUCGGGUUGUAAAGCACUUUUGGCAGGAAAGAAACGUCAUGGGUUAAUACCCCGUGAAACUGACGGUACCUGCAGAAUAAGCACCGGCUAACUACGUGCCAGCAGCCGCGGUAAUACGUAGGGUGCAAGCGUUAAUCGGAAUUACUGGGCGUAAAGCGUGCGCAGGCGGUUCGGAAAGAAAGAUGUGAAACCCCAGAGCUCAACUUUGGAACUGCAUUUUUAACUACCGGGCUAGAGUGUGUCAGAGGGAGGUGGAAUUCCGCGUGUAGCAGUGAAAUGCGUAGAUAUGCGGAGGAACACCGAUGGCGAAGGCAGCCUCCUGGGAUAACACUGACGCUCAUGCACGAAAGCGUGGGGAGCAAACAGG
rnacentral:rRNA from 1 species